GACGAACGCUGGCGGCGUGCCUAAUACAUGCAAGUAGAACGCUGAAGAGAGGAGCUUGCUCUUCUUGGAUGAGUUGCGAACGGGUGAGUAACGCGUAGGUAACCUGCCUUGUAGCGGGGGAUAACUAUUGGAAACGAUAGCUAAUACCGCAUAACAAUGGAUGACACAUGUCAUUUAUUUGAAAGGGGCAAUUGCUCCACUACAAGAUGGACCUGCGUUGUAUUAGCUAGUAGGUGAGGUAAUGGCUCACCUAGGCGACGAUACAUAGCCGACCUGAGAGGGGGAUCGGCCACACUGGGACUGAGACACGGCCCAGACUCCUACGGGAGGCAGCAGGAGGGAAUCAUCGGCAAUGGGGGCAACCCUGACCGAGCAACGCCGCGUGAGUGAAGAAGGUUUUCGGAUCGGAAAGCUCUGUUGUAAGUCAAGAACGGGUGUGAGAGUGGAAAGUUCACACUGUGACGGUAGCUUACCAGAAAGGGACGGCUAACUACGUG
rnacentral:rRNA from 1 species